GAUGAACGCUGGCGGUAUGCUUAACACAUGCAAGUCGAACGGACUCUUCGGAGUUAGUGGCGGACGGGUGAGUAACGCGUGAGAAUCUGGCUUUGGGUUCGGGACAACCACUGGAAACGGUGGCUAAUACCGGAUGUGCCGAGAGGUAAAAGAGAAAUUGCCUGAAGAUGAGCUCGCGUCUGAUUAGCUAGUUGGUGAGGUAAGGGCUCACCAAGGCAGCGAUCAGUAGCUGGUCUGAGAGGAUGACCAGCCACACUGGGACUGAGACACGGCCCAGACUCCUACGGGAGGCAGAAGUGGGGAAUUUUCCGCAAUGGGCGAAAGCCUGACGGAGCAAUACCGCGUGAGGGAAGAAGGCUCUUGGGUUGUAAACCUCUUUUCUUAGGGAAGAACAAAAUGACGGUACCUAAGGAAUCAGCAUCGGCUAACUCCGUG
rnacentral:rRNA from 1 species